rnacentral:rRNA from 1 species
CUUUUGAUGGCGACCGGCGCACGGGUGAGUAACACGUAUCCAACCUGCCUCAUACUCGGGGAUAGCCUUUCGAAGGAAAGAUUAAUACCCGAUGUUAUAGUCCUACCGCAUGAUGGGAUUAUUAAAGAAUUUCGGUAUGGGAUGGGGAUGCGUUCCAUUAGUUAGUUGGCGGGGUAACGGCCCACCAAGACAACGAUGGAUAGGGGUUCUGAGAGGAAGGUCCCCCACAUUGGAACUGAGACACGGUCCAAACUCCUACGGAAGGCAGCAG